rnacentral:misc_RNA from 1 species
CUCUCUCUCUCUCUCUCUCCUCACCAUUUCUGCCCAUUUCAAGCUCUCAACAAUUGACUUGCCCUCCUUUCACACUUAAUCUUCAAAUUUACAUGGUUUUGCAUGGUUGUCACCUCUAUCCCUACCUCUGAUCUUCUCUUCACUUUUGAUUCCUCUUUGCAAUUGCAACUAUCCAUUUGCACAUUACACUCCACCCACGACAUAAAUGAUCCGUUUGAUAAAAUGCCCACGGCAUUGUUGAUUUUUCUGUUUUUCUCAUUCCCUUUUGUGCUUCUAGAGACUGUAGAAGCUGCUAUAGUUCAUAGUUAUUGAAGGCUCUAGGCGCACCAAUGCACCAAGGUGUCCUGGAGCCUAGGCACAAGGCGUGUGCUUGAGCGAGUUGAGG